AUACAUACUCAUGGAAUGUAGCAGAACGCACAUCCACCCCAUAUCUUUUUCCUUCGCUUUUUUUUUUCUUUCAAGUUUUCGCUCUAGGCAGGUCCCGAUGACUCGAGGCAGCAGGUUUCGGUCACGCAGUCGACACAGCAGGCGAGCGUCCGUACGGAAACAGGGUCCAAAAAUUCCACCGUUUUAUAGCAAGGCUGGUGUUGUAUGCCGUUUGUAUCAGAGGGUUGCAUACGAGCGGAAAGUAUAGGAGAACAGCUGGCCCUUCGGGAUUUUGUAAGUAAUCCUACGGCUCGUUUUGAGCCCAGAC